AGCAUGAUGAGAGCGACAAGGGGCUCUUCUCAAACAUGAUGCACGGCGUUGCCGGUGGCCAUGGGUACCCUCACCAGGGAUACCCUCCGCAGGGCUACCCACCACCACAAGGAGCAUACCCACCUCCCCCAGGGGCGUAUCCUCCUCCUCCACCAGGGGCAUACCCACCUCCACCUGGGGCAUACCCACCACAACAUGGGUACCCUCAGCCAGGUGGCUACCCACCGCAAGGUGGAUAUCCUCCUGCAGGCUACCCAGGCUCAUCUCACCAGGGUAUGAUACUACAGUUAAUAUACUACAGAGGAGUUUAGAGAUUGUUUUGGUUUGCUCUGUUGUAUUGCUUUUUAUUGUUCAGAUUCAGAACUCGUACACCUUAACUAACAUUUGUAUCCUGAUCAUGUUGGAAAUUGGUAGUAGUUCUAUUUUGUUGAUUCAGUCAAAUGACAAUAGAUAGCUAAGCAUUCCUUUCACAAAAGAAGUGGUCAUGAGAAUAGCUAAUUCGUCCAACUCUAGCAAAUACUCAUUUUCUAUUUACAAAUUAUUGAAACACUUUAUAUACUACACUCAGGUGUUGAGAUUGUUUUGGAUUGCUUUGUUGUAUUGUUAUAUACAUUUUAUUUUUCAGAUUUAAAACUGUACUACCUCAUACAGCUGCACUAACAUUUAUAUAUACAUUUUAUUGUUGUAAUGUUGGAAAUUGGUAUUUCUGUUCUGCUGAUCCAGUCAAACGUUGAAUCUCAGUUCAUGCUAAUGUCUCUUGUGAUUUCAGGUUAU
rnacentral:lncRNA from 1 species